AAGACUAUCUCAAGUCUUCUUUGAAAGCUUGUUCUCGUCUUGGACAUAAGAUCAUUCUUCUUCCUUACAUUGAAUCGUAUGCUUCUUAAACUCACUUUACUUUAAUUAAAUUGACCUAUUAGUUGUUCUAAGAUUAAAUAAUAACUAUAUUUUAUUGUUGUAGGAAUCAUUGGACACUUAUUGCAAUAUGUUUUUCAUGUAACGAAGCCUACCACUUUGAUUCUUUGCGUAAAGAAACAAUGUGGCCCUUACUAGUCAUAUCAUUGUUAAAAUCGAAACUCAAUAUAUGCGCACUUAUUAAUAUUAAAUGUACAUCUAAUCUUAUAAUAAUGUGUAUUGAUGUAGUGUGAUGAAGAGGUUAAUGCAAUAGGACUUCGACACCAAAAUCUCCUGUUUGGCAUUCAGUCGAGUGUCCGCUACAAGAAGGUGGACUUGCGUGUGGGUAUUACGUCAUGAGGUUCAUGCUCGAUAUCGUCAACCGUUGCAAACAUGUUGAUGAUCUUCAAAAUGUUUAUGAGAAUUCCACACCACGUUCGAGGAACUUCACCAAAGAAGAAAUAGAUGAAGUUCGGGAUAAGUUGGCAUCCCACAUUACCGAUGAUUGCUUAUGAUACAUACAUUUUAGCUCGAAUCUACUAGUUUGUAUCAAUUAUAUGUACAUUUUUUACAUUAUCAAAUAUAUAAUUUGAAGUUAAUUAUUACCUUU